UACGAAGGGGGCUAGCGUUGCUCGGAAUUACUGGGCGUAAAGGGCGCGUAGGCGGCUAGUUCAGUCAGAGGUGAAAGCCCAGGGCUCAACCUUGGAACUGCCUUUGAUACUGGCUAUCUUGAGUUUGGGAGAGGUGUGUGGAACUCCGAGUGUAGAGGUGAAAUUCGUAGACAUUCGGAAGAACACCAGUGGCGAAGGCGACACACUGGCCCAAUACUGACGCUGAGGCUCGAAAGCGUGGGGAGCAAACAGG
rnacentral:rRNA from 1 species